CCGCUAGGGGAACCCGCUAUGGGUUGAGAGUGACCUUUGUCAGACCCUCACUACUUGAUCCGGUUAAUACCGGCGUAAGGAAGC
rnacentral:ncRNA from 1 species